rnacentral:rRNA from 1 species
AGAGUUUGAUCCUGGCUCAGAUUGAACGCUGGCGGCAGGCCUAACACAUGCAAGUCGAGCGGUAACAGAAAGUAGCUUGCUACUUUGCUGACGAGCGGCGGACGGGUGAGUAAUGCUUGGGAACAUGCCUUGAGGUGGGGGACAACAGUUGGAAACGACUGCUAAUACCGCAUAAUGUCUACGGACCAAAGGGGGCUUCGGCUCUCGCCUUUAGAUUGGCCCAAGUGGGAUUAGCUAGUUGGUGAGGUAAUGGCUCACCAAGGCGACGAUCCCUAGCUGGUUUGAGAGGAUGAUCAGCCACACUGGGACUGAGACACGGCCCAGACUCCUACGGGAGGCAGCAGUGGGGAAUAUUGCACAAUGGGCGCAAGCCUGAUGCAGCCAUGCCGCGUGUGUGAAGAAGGCCUUCGGGUUGUAAAGCACUUUCAGUCAGGAGGAAAGGUUAGUAGUUAAUACCUGCUAGCUGUGACGUUACUGACAGAAGAAGCACCGGCUAACUCCGUGCCAGCAGCCGCGGUAAUAC